CGAACGAUGAACCACUUCGGUGGGGAUUAGUGGCGAACGGGUGAGUAACACGUGGGCAAUCUGCCCUGCACUCUGGGACAAGCCCUGGAAACGGGGUCUAAUACCGGAUACUGACCACUGCAGGCAUCUGUGGUGUUCGAAAGCUCCGGCGGUGCAGGAUGAGCCCGCGGCCUAUCAGCUUGUUGGUGAGGUAAUGGCUCACCAAGGCGACGACGGGUAGCCGGCCUGAGAGGGCGACCGGCCACACUGGGACUGAGACACGGCCCAGACUCCUACGGGAGGCAGCAGUGGGGAAUAUUGCACAAUGGGCGAAAGCCUGAUGCAGCGACGCCGCGUGAGGGAUGACGGCCUUCGGGUUGUAAACCUCUUUCAGCAGGGAAGAAGCGAAAGUGACGGUACCUGCAGAAGAAGCGCCGGCUAACUACGUGCCAGCAGCCGCGGUAAUACGUAGGGCGCGAGCGUUGUCCGGAAUUAUUGGGCGUAAAGAGCUCGUAGGCGGCUUGUCGCGUCGGUUGUGAAAGCCCGGGGCUUAACCCCGGGUCUGCAGUCGAUACGGGCAGGCUAGAGUUCGGUAGGGGAGAUCGGAAUUCCUGGUGUAGCGGUGAAAUGCGCAGAUAUCAGGAGGAACACCGGUGGCGAAGGCGGAUCUCUGGGCCGAUACUGACGCUGAGGAGCGAAAGCGUGGGGAGCGAACAGGAUUAGAUACCCUGGUAGUCCACGCCGUAAACGGUGGGCACUAGGUGUGGGCAACAUUCCACGUUGUCCGUGCCGCAGCUAACGCAUUAAGUGCCCCGCCUGGGGAGUAC
rnacentral:rRNA from 1 species